rnacentral:misc_RNA from 1 species
UUCGGAGGGAACGCGGCGCGC